GCGCAUGCGCAGGUCCAUUUGGGAAUUACUGCCCAGCAGCCGACUAAGUUGCAUUCCUUGAAUCUUCGCAGAAAAGACAAUUCUUUUAAUCAGAGUUAGUAAUGUGGACAGUACAAAAUCGAGAGAGUCUGGGGCUUCUCUCUUUCCCUGUGAUGAUUACCAUGGUCUGUUGUGCACACAGCACCAAUGAACCCAGCAACAUGUCAUACGUGAAAGAGACAGUGGACAGAUUGCUCAAAGGAUAUGACAUUCGCUUGCGGCCGGACUUCGGAGGGCCCCCCGUCGACGUUGGGAUGCGGAUCGAUGUCGCCAGCAUAGACAUGGUCUCCGAAGUGAAUAUGCAUGUCCUAAAGAAAAAAUUGGGGAAAUAAAAAUCCCAAGCCAACUAUUGAGAGGCCAAUGAGAAGAGAAAAAGAAGAUUCACGACAGAGGUUAAUAUUGGCCAACUGAAAACUUCUGUCUUCAUGUGGGGAGAACUGAUCUUUAGAAGUGUUGAAGUUGGGAAUGAGAGGAAGACGGGAUAAAAAAUUUGGAGAGUAGGAUAUAUUCACAAAACUGGAAAAAUGGAUUCAGUCCUUGGUGGGUUAUUUGUGUCUGCCUCUUAU
rnacentral:sRNA from 1 species